GAUACGCUGACGGCCCGGCCUAAUACCUGCAAGUCUCAACGGUGUCUUCGGACAUAGUGCGCGCACGGUGUGCGUAACACGUAUGCAACCUACCUUACAUUGGGGGAUAGCCUUUCGAAAGGGAGAUUAAUACCGCAUAAGACAGUAGCUGGGCAUCCAGCAGCUGUUAAAGAUUUAUCGAUGUAAGCUGGGCAUGCGUCCAAUUAGCUAGUUGGUGAGGUAACGGCUCACCAAGGCAAUGAUUGGUAGGGAACUGAGAGGUCAAUCCCCACACACUUGGCACUGAGAUACGGGCCAGACUCCUACAGGAGGCAGCAGUAAGGAAUAUUGGGCCAAUGGACGCACAGAUCAUGAACCAGACAUGCCAGCAGAUGCAGGAUGAACGGCGUUAUGCAGUUGUUAAACCUUGCCUUUUAUAACCCGGAAGACACACAGACCUCUUGUCGAGAAGGCAAUUGACCGGUACUU
rnacentral:rRNA from 1 species